GAAAUGCGAUAAGUAGUGUGAAUUGCAGAAUUCAGUGAAUCAUCGAAUCUUUGAACGCACAUUGCGCCCUUUGGUAUUCCAAAGGGCAUGCCUGUUCGAGCGUCAUUUGUACCCUCAAGCCUUGCUUGGUGUUGGGCGUCUUGUCUCUAGCUUUGCUGGAGACUCGCCUUAAAGUAAUUGGCAGCCGGCCUACUGGUUUCGGAGCGCAGCACAAGUCGCACUCUCUAUCAGCAAAGGUCUAGCAUCCAUUAAGCCUUUUUUCAACUUUUGACCUCGGAUCAGGUAGGGAUACCCGCUGAACUUAAGC
rnacentral:misc_RNA from 1 species